GCCAUGACAUGGAAGCAGCUGGUGGUUGCCCACCAUGGCUGGAGCCUGUCCAAGGAGGAACGAGGGAAGCCUCUUUGGACAGAAGAGACAAAUGGGAAGUACAGAGCUCUCCCGAGGACACUGAGGCACGGCACCUCAAAUCCCUUUCUCAUCCCCACACGGAGGACAAGGUGCUCACAGAUGUCCUGCACCUCUCCCUUCUCCUGCCUCUCCCAGAUUCACUCAGAGGGCUGAGGGCUCCUCCCAGAUCCCUCAGACCCAGAUCCUUUCUCCAAGGUCAGUGUUCCAAACAGGCCACUGUCCUCCAGCACCAAGAAGAGAUCUGGGAUUCCUCCAAAUCUCAAAUCAGUAUUUACCAGCCUCCUGUGGGCUCAUUCUCAGUCCACAUCCUUCUCCUUCUCACUUCCAGGAGAACUUCAGAUCCCAUAGCUGGAGACCCCAUAUCCUCUGCCUGUCCCCCACCCAUGGGACAGCAAUGACCUGGAAUGCUCAGCCCAUCCCUUCCUCCCUGCCCGCCAGCCACAGGCAGGGAAUGAACCAUUUCCUGCCUCUUUUGGGGAAGGAUUGAACUUAUCCCACAAAUGGGGUGCUCAGCUCAUCCCAACGAGGUGUGAGCUGAGGGGGAAAGGCCUCAGCGCCUUGCAGAUGAAGAGCCACCAGGUUUUUAGAGGGAUCACAGGCCCAGUUUCCCCCACAGGCACUGGCCAGGCCAUCCCUGGAGGCCGGGAUGAGGGCAGGGGGCACCACACAACAUUGCACGGCCGCAGGCUGCAGCAGCCACCACGGAGCCAUGGAUCAGCAGCUCAGGGAAAAGGGGAAACACCAACAAACCCUCUGGGAGUCCAGAGGGACUGGGAUCAUCCACAGAAUCCCACAAUGGUUUGAGUUGGAAUGGACACCAAAGCUCAUCCCAUCCCACUGUCCCAGGCUGCUCCAAGCCCUGUCCAACCUGGCCUAGGGCACUCCCAGGGAUCCAGGGGCAGCCACCGCUGCUCUGGGCACCUGUGCCAGGGCCUGCCCAGCCUCACAGCCAGGAAUUCCUUCCCAAUGUCCCACCUAAACCCACUCUCUUUGAUUUGCAGCCAUCUGUACAUGUCCAGGAAGGGAAUGCCAGCAAGAAACUCCUCUCGCACUGCCAAAACAGUGAACUCCAGACGGAUUUUUCCCCCAAAGUCACCCAAGUUUGAUCCUGGAGAAGCAUCUCCCCAACUUGGCAGAGAAAGAAAAUCAAAAUAAAAAUGAAGGGACGGCACAAACCAGCACUUUGUCCACUCCAGUAAGGCCACUGCUCACCAGUUUGUGUCACUGGACCAGCAGUGUUACACUCAGCACACCCAAACUUGGUGACCCAAAUUCCCUGGAGGAUGGGAUAACCUCAGGACCAGCCCCUGGGAGAGCUGGAGGAUGUGAAGCCCCCAGCCCCAGUAAAAGCAGUGGCAGAUGAAGAAAGCAACGCCAUCCCACGUCUCCAGAGUGGAUUUUCCAGGAUUUUCCAGUGGUUCAUAGGGGUGGACAUGGGCCCCUCCACUGCUGCCAGUUCCCACAAAUCCUGCAGGAGCCGGGGGUUUAUCCCUGGAUCAGAUGUCCCAGGCUGGGGGAGCCGUUAUCAGCACAGAGAUCGAUUCAAGCAGAGUCCAACACAAACAUUUCUUGGCAGGCCCCAGAGAAACCCGGAUUAACCACGAGCACGGGGAGCUGGGCUGAGACGUGGCUGUCCCUUGAUUAAACACCUCCUAAUCUGCAGGUGAUAAAUGACAAACGGCCCCAGGAACAUCAGGUGUUGUCACCACCGGGCAGAGCCAGGGGACCAGGAGGGAAAUCAGUGUUUGCUAAACAGGCAGCAGCUCUGAGGGUGGCACAGGGAGGGGCUGGGGGACAGCAGGGCUGUUUCACCUGCCCUGGGCUCACUCCUGCCUGGCCACAGCUCCCAGCCCAUCUCCCAGCCAGGAGAUUCCUUCUCGGCUGAUCCCGGGCUCCUGCUCACACCCAGCCCCAGUGUGGUGCUGGCACUGCUGCAAAGAGCUCUGGGGACAGGGGGCAAGAAAAUGUCACCUGUGUCCCUGCUGGGCAGCCAAGAGCAUCCAGCCCUGGGGCCUGACAUCAGAGGGAUGUGCAACUGCUGAAAUAAAUCCAGAGGAGGCCAUGGAGCUCCAAGGGCUGGAGCCAGGCUGGGAGAACUGGGGGUGCUCACCUGGAGAGGAGAAUGCUCCAGGGAGAGCUCAGAGCCCCUGCAGGGCCUAAAGGGGCUCCAGGAGAGCUGCAGAGGGACUGGGGACAAGGGAUGGAGGGACAGGACACAGGGAAUGGCUCCCACUGCCAGAGGGCAGGGCUGGAUGGGAGAUUGGGCAGGAAUUGUUCCCUGUGAGGGUGGGCAGGCCCUGGCACAGGGUGCCCAGAGCAGCUGUGGCUGCCCCUGGAUCCCUGGCAGUGCCCAAGGCCAGGCUGGACAGGGCUUGGAGCAGUCUGGGACAGUGGGAGGUGUCGGGUUUGGGUGAUCUCUGAUGUCCCCCCCAACACAAACACUCCAUGAGUCGAUGAUCCUCUGACGUGGGGGUUCAGGGAAUGGGGGAACAGCAGGACCUGGCUCCAGCGGGAAGGGGGGGCCUGUCCUGGGCACGAGGGACCCCGGGAGCGCAGGUGUGGCACAACGGUCGUGCCACAACCCAGCCUGGGCUCUUUCUCCUCCGUGCACCUGCACGAAACUCCAGCCUCCAAGGGAAUCAGCAAACAAUGGGCAGGAUAAUCAUCAAUCAACCCCCCUGGCACGGCCCCGGCAGUGCCCCGCUGCAGGCUCACUUUAUAAAUAGCCUGUAUUUAUAUCCAGAUUUGGUUCAAUAUCAGCAUUUAUUGUCUCCUGGUUAAAUAUUGACCUGGGUAAAUAUUUGUUCCUCUGAUGAUUUGGGUUUGAUACCGACCUGGAUCGACGUUAUUUUCUGUUUGUUCCUCAAGUCUCCUGGAACUCUCUGUAAAACGGGAUUAGCAAAGAAAGCCCCGGGACUCUUCCUUUCAAGUGCCUAACUUCUUUGGCUGCUGUAAACAACAAAGCUGUGUCCCAGACUGAAUCCAAGCUCCCGUGGGAAUGUGCUGGGCCCGGGAAGGCCCUGGAUGUGCUCCCCUGCUCGGUCCCACAGGAGCAGCUCCAGGGUGAGGGGCUGCCCUCGAAGCACCCAUGGAUUAUUUGGGUUGGAAAACACCUCUAAGGUGAUCAAGUCCAAGGUUUACAUCAUCCACUUCAGACAUUUCCCCUUUUCCUGCCUCGGCUCCCUGCCAGAAAAAGGAUGUGAGACCCCACCCUGCCCAAACCUGGGGGUUCAGAGCAACUCCAGGAUGAGGUGCUGCCCCCAAAUCAUUGAUGGAAUUUCAUUCUUUCCCCAGGUUUGUGUCCAUGGAUGGCCUAGGAGACGGGGAGUUAUCCCAGUGCUCUUUCCUGCCUGUGUGUUGGAACUCCCUGAGCAGUUAAUGACUUCCCAGGAACCAGGGAAGCUGCGAUCUCCAUCCAGCCCCACUCCCAGACUUGCUGGCUGUGUUUGCAAUUCCUUCCCUCCAGCAGCUGAUAAAGGCUCCCUCAAAGGCAAUCCAGCUCAGGUAUUUAUCACCGGGGUCAUGCCACAAUCCCAAAGGCCAAGGGAGCCAGGGAAAACACCCUCAUCCAACUCCAAGGUCAAGGGGCUGGAAGAGGAGAUGCUGGGAACAGCCAGGCUCCAGCAGCAAGCAGAAACCUUUCCAAAAAUAAAGCCAUAAAUGGAUUGAAAAAUAACAAAAUCUUGGACACAGAGCCUGGAGUGGGAAGGGAAUGACACAGGAGCACAGCCAGAGGUGAGGGAGGAGGGGUCCCAUGCUGACUUUGGGGUUGAUCCACAGUUUGGGGGUAGAUCCCACUUCUGCAGAACCCAGCCCUGGAUGGAGCUGGAAGGAAGGUGGGAAUCAGGCAUGGCCUCUCCCCUCUCCCAUUGCUCCACCCGGUGUGAGGACAACUCUCAAAGUGUGGGAAGGGAGGACAUGAGGAUUUAAGGGAGCUGGACCUUCACAGCUUUCAGGAUAUUCCCAUUUCACAAUUUCUGAGCUGCUCCUGCCCAGCAAAGGCUGAGCUGGAGCCCCUGAAAGGGAAUUGAGGUUUUCCACCAAAGCUCCUGGAAGUUGAUCUGGGCUGAUUCCUGGUGUGAGCUGCUACAGCCCCUUGGAUGGUUUUUUGGAAAAAAUGAAAUUAUUUAAUGUCAUUUCAAUUCCUGGAAGAUCCAGAGGCUUGGAGCUGCUCCAGCAUCAGCCAAAAGCAUGGCAGAACUCAAGGAACCCUGGGUUUAACAGGCACAAAUCAGUGCUGGAUUUGGAAUUAGGAGCAGGGGGCCCCUGCAGCUCCACUGCUCCUUCUGGACUCAGCUCCAUCCCAGAACUGCCUCUCCCUGACUCUUGGAUGUCACAAUCCCCAGGAUUCCCUGGACAAAUUUACCCCUCUGUUCCUGGCCCCAGGAUGCUGCGAUUGUCUUUGAGCCUUCCAGUUCCCCCAGUUACACAUCCCUGCCCCAAGUCUUGAACGUGCUGUGGGAGAGGCUUUGGAGCUCCCAGGGAUCCUCCCCAGUGGUGGGAUUCACUCUGCCUCCCUCAAUCCCCCUGGCAGCUCACACUCCUCUCCAAGGCACAUUCCCAAGGGGCUGACAAUGGAAUGAGUCACUGGCUGCUUGCUGGGGCUUGUGGAGCCCUCCUGGCAUCCAGAGCCCAUCAAAGAGGCCACAAUUCCUUUUCUUCCCAGGAAAACCAGCAGGGCAGACCCCAAGCAAGGUCAGGUUUCACCUGCAGACAGCAAAUCCCCCCAUCCCGGCAGCCCCAACUUCCUCCAGUUGGGGAAAUAAAAGCAGUUGGGAAAAUAAAACAAAACAAACCCCGAGGCGGCUGGGAGAGUUGGGUUGGGCCAACUCUUCUUCCAAGCCUGAACAUUCCCAGGCCAGGAAGGUCCUGCCAAAACAGGGAUGGAGGGGGACACUGGAGCAGGUCCACUCCUGCCACAAGUCCUGUCCUGAGUAUUUAAUGGAAUUAUGGAAUGGUUUGGGUUGAAAGGACCUCAACCAUCACCUCGUUCCCCAUCCUGCCAUAAGCAAGCACCUCUGUGCUCCUGGUGUGGUCCUGGAAGCAGAAAUCUGGAGUUUCCUUCAGAUCCAGGGCCUUCCACCCCAACCCUCUCUUUCCACCUUUUCCCUGUGUAUAAAGGAGUCCCCAGUUCCUGUUAAUUAAGGGAGGCUGAUUAUGGCACAGGCCAAUAACAGCUCCCAGGAGAGGGCUCCGAGCCCUGGGGAAGCUCCAGCGGGAGCAUUUGGGAGCCUGGGCAUUGCCAGCCCUGGGAAACACAAGGACUGGGACACUCCUGGGAUCCCCGAGGGGAUGGCAAACCCCAAAAUAAUGGGUUUGGGUUCCUCCCAUGCCACAGAACCACAAAAGCCCCAAAUAUUGGAAGCUGGCCAGAACGAAAGGUUCAGAAAUGUUUUGGAUGAGCAGCUGGGGAGAUGCCCUGAUUUUCCCAACAAAUUUGGGGCUUUUCCACAGUUCAGAGAAAAUCAAACCUGUGCAUUGUGAAGAAUUUUAAUAUACCCAGCCAUUCCUGGGUUUAGCUCCCUGAAAAGCAGAAAAAAUGAUGAUUUUAUAGAGACAACAUUACAAUGUUUGGGGUAAAUAAAUACACAAAAAAAACCCCAUGGUUAGAUGGGCUGGAGAGCAUCCACAUCCCCUGGCCUCUCCAGGAUGGGUUCAGAUCCACGAGAUAAGUUACCUCAGGUGUGAGGGAUCUGAUAAGGGAUAAUAGCCUGGGUUUUGGGAUAAACCUGGGAUAGUCUUCAGAGCAGCUAUACUGGGAUUAAUUCCAUGCCAUUCCCUUCUCCUACUUGCACUGAAAAUCCUACAAAGAGCGAGGUCCUGAAACGCAUUUUAAUACUUGCAACUCCUGCUCUGGGUGGGAACUUGAAGGUCCCUCCCCAUCACGCUGAGAAAACAAUAAAUUUCCAAGAAUUCUCGCAGCAUUUCUGAACUCAAUGAAAGAUUCUUUGUUUGAGUUUCAAGCCGAGCUUCAACGGGGCUGAAGCUCUUUGAUGCGAGCCCGGCGGGACCCGGUGACUGCGGGAAUUCGCCAAUGGAGCACGGGGAAAGCAAACACUGUAAUCAAGCUCACAAGACGCUCGUAAGUGCGAUUAUUUGCAGUGGAUGGGUUGGAUAAAAGAACUCAGUGGAGCAGGGAAGGAGAACAAAACAGCGCCGGGAGGUGACCGAACAGGUUUCCAAAAAGGAAACAACACCCACCAGGCGCCUCUCCAGCCGAGGGCAGGUCGCAGGGAGGAGGACGAGCACGGCGCACUCGGAAUCCUCGUCCCCUUGCCUCGCCAAACUUCCCCGGGCAGAACAAUCAGCCUUUGUCCCGCCGGGACAAAGCCGCGCAGCUCCGCGGCUCAAAGUUCGGCCGAGCAACUCCGUGCGGCUCUUCCAUCCUGCUCCUCCUUCCGUCCUGCUCCUCACGCCCUCCUGCACCCACCCGGGGAACUCGGCGGGGUUCUGGGCACCCAGAUAAAUAAAACAACGAAUAUUGUGGGUGAACCCCCGCGUGUGCCGGGUUUUGGCUCACUGGUUUUACCCAGAGCUUCCUGCAGGCUCCGGAGCUGCUCUGCCGUGGGACCAAGCCCUGGCACACGGCUGGGGUGGGGACUCUCCUAAGGGUCUUCCUUAGAAGACGGAUAAAUGGGAUCCCUCCUGGGGAUCUGCCCCAAUUCACUGUGGCCCUGCAGACACCUGCCUGCAGGCACAAAGCACAUCAGACUUGCAAAUCCACGGGCUGGUCCCGAAAACAUUGGGAUCAGCUGAUCCCAAAGCAAAACAGAGGAAGGAUCCCUCCCUCUGGAGAUCCCUCGUGCAAGGCUCCACCAGCUCCCAAACCCAUCCUCAUGCCAGAGGGAUCAGGUGUUUCCUUCUUGUCAAGGUUUAACUUCCCAUCUCUUCCACCCCAUCCCUGGAGCCUGCCCGGACUGCCAGCACCCUUUGGAAAUGGAUUUUGCACACUUCCGUGGAAUUUCUGAACCCUUUUCCAAAGCCAGGAGGAUCCCCAAGGGAGAAGAUUCUCCUCAAGCAUCUCAUUCCAGUUCCAGAGCAAAAUUCCAAAGUGGCCAUCUCCCCCUUCCCUGAAGAAAAGCCAAAUUUAUUCCCUUCCUGCAGCUCCUUAGAUCCCAAGGAAAUGAAUCAUCCCCUGGGAGCUGUGCUGGGCACUCCAACAUCUCUCCUAAAAAAUAAAGGAGCUUUAUUCAUGGAAGGCAGGACUCUCCUGGCACUGACCAGGAUCCAUCUCCCUGGUUCCAGCUGGGCUGUGCAAGGCACUGGAGCAGGAAAAGCCAUCCCUGCUCGAUGGGCAGCCACCCUCAAGCCACCACAGCCACGUUCAUGACAAGGAUGUGGCAAAGGAGCUGCAGGAUGUGGCACAGGGACAGGGCAGGAUUGAAACAGCUCCUGAAAGCUGGAGCAUUCCUCAAAAUGCUGGAUCCAGGCUCUCAUGUGAUCCAGAGGCAAAAUCCCUGCCAAGAUAAAGUCAGAGGAGCACCAUAGCACUUCCACCCUGUUCCACAGUUCCUCCACACUGCUGGACGCGUCUGGGAAGUGCUGUUCCCAGCACUGAGGAGACGAAGUGCCAGGAAAAGCUCUGGGAACACUUUCCUGAUCCCAUCUGAUGUGUCCAAGCACCUCCCAGAUGCUGGAGAUGUUUUAUUCCUCCUGAGCCCCCACCCCAGCCCAGAGGGAGCCAAGGACAGGGUGGGGAAGUUCCUGUGGGACAGGAACUGGGAUCAGGGGACACAAAGUGAGCUCUUUGCUGCUGUUCCUCAGCCUACAGCCAAGGAAAAUCCCUUUCCACACUCAUCAGGAUCUUCCUUGUUUCCCACCACAGGCUCAGCCCCACUGGGGGCUCACCAGCCCCACCACAACUGCACUGGGGCCUGGCACAGGCAGGAAGGGGUUAAACCGAGGGACAGGCUGGGGGUUUGUCCUUCUCUCUCUUCCCAGCAGCUCCUGCCCUCUCUCAGCAGCCCCGGAGCCUCCAACAUCGGAAUUCCCAGCAUGGGCCACAGAGACAGGAUCGCCUUCCCAAAUGCUCAAGGACAGUGCUGGCAGAGCCACCUCCCCACAGCUGCAGGGAAGCCUGGAGGAGCCAAUUCCCGCCCUGUCCUCCCAGGCCCUGGGUGAUCCCGGCAUGUUUCUCCAGCCUCAGGUGCCCAGGAAUGCUGUGGCAACCAGGUGGGAGCAAGGAUAAAAUACCCCAGGCCCCUCACUCAUCCAGGGGACCUGACAGCCACACAGAGGGAUCAGCUCCUCCUCUCCUGAAAUGUUCCCUGGACGUGCCAUACUUUAUUAUUAUCAUUUUUAUAUUAGUAUGAUUGUUAUUAUUAUUCCCUCCAGCGUCAGCUGCUGGAGAUUUAAAGAAGAAAAUGCUUUUUCUGGCUGAUCUGACUCAAAUCGGGAAGGAAAAGUCCUUUCCUCCCAUGAACCCUUUUCCCUCCUCUUUUCUCAGGAUUUUUUUUGUUUUGUUUUGUUUUUUUGGUUGGAAAAGCCAAGGCAAGGGAAAAACUGAUUGGAAAUUCCACAAAGGAUCUGUUUCCACCUGAGUCAAAUCCAAUAAAAUUUUUGACAGCAAAGAGCUCCCACCUGAAAAGCAAUUUUAGGAGGAUAUAUGGCAAUGGGACUUUGAAAGCACAGCGAUCAUUUGCUCCUGCCUCUUCCCAAGCUCGGGCAGGCAGAGCAGAGGGAAUUGCCCCGAGCUGGACCUGAAAGGUCCCAGCCUUUGGCACCAGCCUUGUCAAACUGAUAAAAACCCUCUGGAGCAAAGGCUUCCCAGCCCUGCAGCCUUCCAGUUCUUCCACCCUCCAGCCACGGCUCCCACAGCCUCUGGAAUCCGCCAGGAGAAAGGAGCCAGGGCAUGGAAAACUCCUCCCCGGGGGCUGUGGGGUCCAGCCCGGGGCUCUUGGGGUGUCCCAGCCACAGCCCUGAGCCCUGGGUGGGUUUGGGGAUCCACGGGAUCCCCACUGCCCAGAGAGGGACAAGGAGGGACAGUGGCCAAGGGGUGACACCUCCAAGGCCCCCCUCAGCUGCCACCACCCCAGAGCAAAGUGGGAUCAAACUGGGAGGACAAAGCGCCUUUCCCUUGGAAGAGCAGCAGGGACGGGGUGGGGGUGAAGGUGGCUCCAGCCAUGGGUGUCCCCAUGAGGGGACAAGAGUGGCUCAGGGCCAGCCAUGGCCAUGCUCCCCAGUGGCCAUGGCCACACUGCCUCAUCCCACCUGGCUGGAAAAGGGAAAAAGGCCAAGCUCACCCUCCCUCAGCCCUUUCAGGGGAAGGUUGGGAGGGAGGUGACAGCUUUUCCCCCGGGGACAGGCCCCGGAGAUAAUCCCAGCCUUCCAAGAGCCCCUGCCCGGCUCUGACCCACGCGAUCCCCAAACCCCGCACGGAGGAGCGGGAACCCACAGGAGACCGAGAAAUGGCUCCCGUGUUUGACCCCACGAACACUGCUGACAGCCCCUGUGGGUCCUGGAAAUCCUGCAGGAAACCCAGAGAUGGAGACACGGCCUUCCCCUCCCUGAGGGACAGAGCCCCAAAAUGGCCCUGGGAACGUGGGUGACACGGGCCAAGAGAAGGGGCAGUGGGCACACAGCCCCGGCCGUGGGCACACAGCUCAGCCCCUGGCUGGUGCCAGCCGUGCCGGGAUCCCCCCCGGGGGAUUCCCGAGGAGCAGCAGCCGGGAUCGGGGUCCCUGCGUGUCCCCGGCGCCGGGCCCGGGGCGUUCCCGCCCGCACUAAAAUGGCGCUGGGCCGUGGGGCUCGGCGUUAAUCAUUACCAAGGGCACCCCGGCCCCACGGAGCGGGGAAAGGGGAGCCCCGGGCUCCAGCCCGGGCCGGGCCUGCCUCACCCGCCUGCCCGCCGGGAAGGGCGGCCGGAGGCUCUGAGGGUGGGACACGGAGCCUCGGAGCCUCGUCCCCCCGGCGGGGGUAGGCCUGCAGGGGCAUCCCAAAGCCACUUAUGCAGGUCUUUACCUAGAGGCAAUGCUGCCAGGGGAUCGCAAGAAGCAUUCCUAACCCACCGCGGCAGUGGAAAAAUACAGAGAAUUAAAGAAAAAGGAAAAUAAGGUCCCGUUUCCCGUCCGGCACGCACAGGCACAGCCGUUCGAACCCCAAAACCUUUCCCAGUGGCAGAGCCCCUGGGCACGCCCUGGCCUGCCGGUCCAGGGGAGGCGGAUUGAACCCUGGAGUGCGAGCAGAGCCCACACGGAGGGCGGCGAGGUUUGAGGGCAGGCAGGAGGCAAAAAAUUCCCAAACCAAAAUCCCAAACGAAAC